rnacentral:rRNA from 1 species
UACGAAGGGAGCAAGCGUUGUCCGGAUUUAUUGGGCGUAAAGAGCGUGUAGGCGGCCAGACAGGUCCGUUGUGAAAACUGGAGGCUUAACCUCCAGACGUCGAUGGAAACCGUCUGGCUAGAGUCCGGAAGAGGAGAGUGGAAUUCCAGGUGUAGCGGUGAAAUGCGUAGAUAUCUGGAGGAACACCGGUGGCGAAGGCGGCAUCCUGGACCGGUAUUGACGCUGAGGCGCGAAAGCCAGGGGAGCAAACGGG